rnacentral:rRNA from 1 species
GACGAACGCUGGCGGCGUGCUUAACACAUGCAAGUCGAACGGAAAGGCCCUGCUUUUGUGGGGUGCUCGAGUGGCGAACGGGUGAGUAACACGUGAGUAACCUGCCCUUGACUUUGGGAUAACUUCAGGAAACUGGGGCUAAUACCGGAUAGGAGCUCCUGCUGCAUGGUGGGGGUUGGAAAGUUUCGGCGGUUGGGGAUGGACUCGCGGCUUAUCAGCUUGUUGGUGGGGUAGUGGCUUACCAAGGCUUUGACGGGUAGCCGGCCUGAGAAGGUGACCGGCCACAUUGGGACUGAGAUACGGCCCAGACUCCUACGGGAGGCAGCAGUGGGGAGUAUUGCACAAUGGGCGGGAGCCUGAUGCAGCAACGCCGCGUGCGGGAUGACGGCCUUCGAGUUGUAAACCGCUUUCGCCUGUGACGAAGCGUGAGUGACGGUAAUGGGUGAAGAAGCACCGGCUAACUACGUG